rnacentral:rRNA from 1 species
GAUGAACGCUAGCGGCAGGCUUAAUACAUGCAAGUCGAGGGGCAGCACAGGGUAGCAAUACCUGGGUGGCGACCGGCAAACGGGUGCGGAACACGUACAGAACCUACCUUCGAGCGGGGGAUAGCCCAGAGAAAUUUGGAUUAAUACCCCAUAGCAUAAUGGAGUGGCAUCACUUUGUUAUUAAAGAUUUAUCACUUGAAGAUGGCUGUGCGUAUGAUUAGGUAGUUGGCGGGGUAACGGCCCACCAAGCCUACGAUCAUUAACUGGUGUGAGAGCACGACCAGUCACACGGGCACUGAGACACGGGCCCGACUCCUACGGGAGGCAGCAGUAAGGAAUAUUGGUCAAUGGACGCAAGUCUGAACCAGCCAUGCCGCGUGGAGGAUGAAGGUCCUCUGGAUUGUAAACUUCUUUUAUCUGGGACGAAAAAAGGGAAUUCUUUCUCGUCUGACGGUACCAGAUGAAUAAGCACCGGCUAACUCCGUGCCAGCAGCCGCCGUAAGAC